GAUGAACGCUAGCGAUAGGCCUAACACAUGCAAGUCGAGGGGCAUCACAUGAAGUAGCAAUACGGAUGGUGGCGACCGGCGCACGGGUGAGUAACACGUAUGCAACCUGCCUUCAACAAGGGGAUAACCCGUUGAAAGACGGACUAAUACCCUAUAACACAGGGGUCCCGCAUGGGAAUAUUUGUUAAAGGACAACCGGUUGAAGAUGGGCAUGCGUUCCAUUAGCUAGUUGGCGGGGUAACGGCCCACCAAGGCAACGAUGGAUAGGGGAACUGAGAGGUUUAUCCCCCACACUGGUACUGAGACACGGACCAGACUCCUACGGGAGGCAGCAGUGAGGAAUAUUGGUCAAUGGACGCAAGUCUGAACCAGCCACGUCGCGUGAAGGAAGACGGCCCUACGGGUUGUAAACUUCUUUUAUACGGGAAUAAAGUGCCCCACGCGUGGGGUUUUGCAUGUACCGUAUGAAUAAGGAUCGGCUAACUCCGUGCCAGCAGCCGCGGUAAAUCA
rnacentral:rRNA from 1 species